GGGUGAGUAACGCGUAUCCAACCUGCCCACCACUUGGGGAUAACCUUGCGAAAGUAAGACUAAUACCCAAUGAUAUCUCUAGAAGGCAUCUGAAAGAGAUUAAAGAUUUAUCGGUGAUGGAUGGGGAUGCGUCUGAUUAGCUUGUUGGCGGGGUAACGGCCCACCAAGGCAACGAUCAGUAGGGGUUCUGAGAGGAAGGUCCCCCACAUUGGAACUGAGACACGGUCCAAACUCCUACGGGAGGCAGCAGUGAGGAGUAUUGGUCAAUGGACGAGAGUCUGAACCAGCCAAGUAGCGUGCAGGAUGACGGCCCUAUGGGUUGUAAACUGCUUUUAUAAGGGAAUAAAGUGAGUCUCGUGAGACUUUUUGCAUGUACCUUAUGAAUAAGGACCGGCUAAUUCCGUGCCAGCAGCCGCGGUAAUACGGAAGGUCCGGGCGUUAUCCGGAUUUAUUGGGUUUAAAGGGAGCGUAGGCCGGAGAUUAAGCGUGUUGUGAAAUGUAGAUGCUCAACAUCUGAACUGCAGCGCGAACUGGUUUCCUUGAGUACGCACAAAGUGGGCGGAAUUCGUGGUGUAGCGGUGAAAUGCUUAGAUAUCACGAAGAACUCCGAUUGCGAAGGCAGCUCACUGGAGCGCAACUGACGCUGAAGCUCGAAAGUGCGGGUAUCGAACAGGAUUAGAUACCCUGGUAGUCCGCACGGUAAACGAUGGAUGCCCGCUGUUGGUCUGAAUAGGUCAGCGGCCAAG
rnacentral:rRNA from 1 species